rnacentral:rRNA from 1 species
GAUGAACGCUGGCGGCGUGCUUAACACAUGCAAGUCGAACGGUGAAGGCGGAGCUUGCUCUGCUGGAUCAGUGGCGAACGGGUGAGUAACACGUGAGCAAUCUGCCCCUGACUCUGGGAUAAGCGCUGGAAACGGCGUCUAAUACUGGAUACGAGCUGCGAAGGCAUCUUCAGCAGCUGGAAAGAAUUUCGGUCAGGGAUGAGCUCGCGGCCUAUCAGCUUGUUGGUGAGGUAAUGGCUCACCAAGGCGUCGACGGGUAGCCGGCCUGAGAGGGUGACCGGCCACACUGGGACUGAGACACGGCCCAGACUCUUACGGGAGGCAGCAGUGGGGAAUAUUGCACAAUGGGCGAAAGCCUGAUGCAGCAACGCCGCGUGGGGGACGACGGCCUUCGGGUUGUAAACCUCUUUUAGCAGGGAAGAAGCGAAAGUGACGGUACCUGCAGAAAAAGCGCCGGCUAACUACGUG